UUCGCGCGCAGUGUGAACAACUACACAACAUCAGGACGCGCGCCGAGUGAAGUUUGCGAUCUUGACGGGAGAAAUAAGCUUCCACUUAUCACGGCUUAUACAACCAGAAUUAAACCUGGAUUUAAUUAUUCUAUAAAACAAUAAUCUUCUUUGCACUGAUCUCCAGCUCUCCCCCAGACACACGCUCACAUACUCGCUGCAUGCCUGCUCCAUGCCUAUAAAUAUCGCAUUAAUCUCUCCACUUGCUGUGCUAUUUAUUGCACGUUUUCACAAACUAUUAGACAUGCUGGCAUGUUUCGGGUCUGUCCUGGCUACAUAACUCAAAAGCACUUACGCUUGAGGGCAGGAAAAGAUGGCCUGACGUUUUCCCAAAGGAUUUUCUUGUAGAUUGCAAGAAUUUGUUCUUCCAUUAGUCACAGUAAGUGGUCGAGUUCCUGAGGAAGACCCUGAGAACAUGAACUGCCAGCACCAUGUAUAACUGUUAGCAUAAUGUUAUUUCUAUGCCAAAUAUAAUGAGUUGCGAGCUUCGGCAUUCUUUUUUUUGUUAGUUGUGGUUUAUGCCUGGUGUCCAAUGUUCCCUCUAAGCCGCGUAACUGCGCACUUGUCACACACUCUCAGCGCAGAGAACUACAGCCUGAGACUGCCUCUCACAAAGAGCUGCUGCCCUGGCCACACCGGGCCACACUCUCUACUUCCUAGUUUACCUGACACAAUUUUAAAGGAGUACGCUCAUUAUUACAAACACCAGGGUAUGUGAAUAAUAGAAGAAAAAGUGGUGAAACUGGAUGAGAUUUUCUCUUUUUUUGAGAAAAAAAAGAUCUGGUCUGAAGCCAAAGUAGAAAGUACAGGAUGAGAUGGUGUAUAAUGUUAAAAUUCCACCUUGGCACAGCCUGACUGAGGAUGAAAGCACGGAUGAUACAUUGCCCAAAAAGCUAAUUCUGUAUUUUAAAUACAGGAGGCAACAUAACAUUAACCCUAAAACUGUUUGGGAACAUCAUUCAGCUUUCAACAUGCAUUGCGAAAGAUAUUCUGCAAGCAAUAAUUAAAUUUCACAGCAAGAAAAAAAAACGUGGAGAUCAUUGUGGGUUUAAAAAAAAAAAAAGAAAAAGUCGGAAGUGACAUUUCAAAUUUAUAGUUAAUUGGUAUGGUAUGUAUUUGUAUUGUAAUGUAUUUUUUUUGGUUUGUUGACAUUUUCAGUGUAAGUUUGCAAAAACACAAAAUUGUUGUUAUCUGAACCUUUGAAUGAGCCACGUAACUUCAAUGGAUGACACUGACCACAGUGCAUACGUCUGACGUUGCUCACAGUGGCCGAAGGGGGCGCUCACGGCCUUAAGUGUGUUUGCUCAAACUCGUAAAAAAUUAGAGGGGACAUUGUGUGGUGUCUGUCUUGUGUUUUGCUUAUGUCAGUCACAACCACUUAAUUAACAAAGGCCAGUAAGGACUGUAAUUGUUUGAAUAUUGUUUUGGGUUAGUUUGUGCCCAUCUUGAUGAGUUGCCAUUGCAUCUUGGCAAGUUUCACCACUGUCCCCAGUUAUGACCAAUCGUGGAUAACGGCAAUUAGCAUGUUUCACCGAAGGCCCAAAUGUUUGAAAAUGGCUUCGCAACCUACAGCAUUCCAGACUGACGGGCUUCAAUCACUCUCACAGAUGUGGCCAAGUCAAGAAUGUGCUGGAACCUCUGACCGCCGCCUCCGGAACCACGGACUUCCCCAAAACUCUCACCAAUGCGUUUCCUAAAGAAAUUUGGAGGGUGUCAGGCACCUGAGGGCAGCAUACCUACAACACAUCAUCCAUCUAUUUUCUUAGCCGCUUAUCCUCACGAGGGUCGCAGGAGUGCUGGAGCCUAUCCCAGUUGUCAACGGGCAGGAGGCGGGGUACACCCUGAACUGGUUGCCAGCCAAUCGCAGGGCACAUUGAGACAAACAGCCGCACUCACAAUCAUACAUAUAGUGCCCAAUUAAUGUUGCAUGUUUUUUGGGAGGUGGCAGGAAACCAGAGUGCCCGGAGAAAAGCCACGCAGACACGGGGAGGUCAUGCAAACUCCACACAGCCGGGGCCGGGAUCAAACCCUGGACCCCAGAACUGUGAGGCCGACGCUUUCCAGUUCCCGAGGAAGUGGAAAAAUACAAGUGACGGUGCUUUUGAGAAGCUGAAGCCAUUUGAUCAUAACCUUGGAUAAGGAAAAUGGCAGCCAAUUUGCUGCACGCUGCAGCGGACGGCAGUGAAGAGAGACACGGCACUCAACUCGGCCACGUCAUUUAUCGCCACAACACAAGAAUGUACUGCCGUGUGUGUGUGUGGGGGGGGGGACUUGGCCUAAUUAAACUUUAACUUCUA